GGAGAGGUGUCCGAGUGGUUUAAGGAGCACGCCUGGAAAGCGUGUGUGUGGAGCAAUCUGCACCGCGGGUUCGAAUCCCGCCCUCUCCGCCA
rnacentral:tRNA from 1 species